ACCUGCUGGUCUCACCGCUAGGGCCUGGGCAUCACAGGCAGGGGGAAUGGGGAGGGGACGGUAGCGUCAGCCUACACCCACACGCAGUUUCCUGAUAAAAGGUCCUUUGGAAACUUUGAUUCUCUUCUCACCAAGUUGAACGGAGAUGUGUUCCCAUAGUAAGAGUGAGGCCCCUGCAUUUGCUGCCCUCGGUUUUCCCAACUAACACCAGGGCCUCCCCCCUGUACCCCAUUCAUAUGCCUCAGAAGCUGACAAUGACUGUUGGGCUUUUCCAAUGAAUACCAGAACACCAUUUCCUGCAGCCUGAAAAGAAGACAGUAUAAUUGUUUGGCAGCAAGAGAAUCCAGGUGCCCUUCCAUGAGAAGCCCAAGCCAUGUGGAGAAGCCACGUCUAGGGACUCCAGUUAACACUCUCAGCUGAGUCCCCAGCUGACAGUCAGCAUCAACUGCCAGCCACCUCUGUCUAAAAGUGGGCUAUCUUGGGCAUCCAGCCCAGUCAAGCCUUCAGAUGAGUCCAGUCCCAGCCACUAUCUCACACAACCACACGAGAGACAUCAAGAACUCCCAGUGGAGUCCAGUCAGCCCAUGGAACUGCAAGAGACAGGAUCUCGCUGCGUUGCUCAGACUGGUCUCGAACUCCUGGGCUUAAGGGAUUCUCCUGCCUCAAUCACAGCCUCCCAAGUAGCUGAGAUUAAAAGUGCUCACCACCGUGCCAGCGAGUUCAGUUUUUGAGUGUCCUCCGACACUGACUCUGUGCUUGGCCCUGUGACUUGCUUUGGCCAAUGGUACAGCAGCAAACUUGAUGCAAACACAACUUGAAAAAGAAGAGGACAGCCAAGUCAUCCCAGCCAAGGCCACCCUGGACCAGCCAGCCUCUUGCCAAGCUGCCAGUGACCACAGAGUCCAAUUAACAACAGCCAGUCCUGGCCCAGGCCAAGCUCAUAUGCCAAUUUCCUCAUGGAACCUUUCACUCCUCCAUCUCUUCGCCAAGUUGAAAUGUUAACUUCUGCUUCUCUGGGAUACUUCGGACCUUUGUUUAAAGCUCUCCCAUCUGCUUUCUGCGCUAUGUUUAGGGUUAUGUCUGGAUGGGAAUAGGUCUGUCUCUUGCCACUACUGGUAAAAUUGGUUCUUGCUUAGCAUGAUGUGGGCUCCCCACAUCUGGCACAGUGACUUGCGCAGGGUGGAGCCAAGACUCUGAGGAGAGGGCUGAACUGUGAACCUAGAAGUACCAUCUCCCCCUGCACACACCUUUGGUCAAGUUGACCCCAAGAAGAAGGACAAGUCCUCUGCACGGCGAUGAGGCCAUACACACAGUCUGUGGCCCGGCUUUGGGAGACUGAUGGGACAAAGGAUGUUUUGCACGAUCCUUGGUCUCUGAGCAAAUAUAUACAUGGGUUAACACAAA
rnacentral:lncRNA from 1 species